GAAUAAGAAGCGAAUUAUUGCAUUCAGUUUCGACCUGAAAUAAUGGUAAAUAUACCCUUAUUCU
rnacentral:tRNA from 2 species